rnacentral:sRNA from 1 species
UUUCCCGCGGCUGUUCGCUGUUCCAGUGGGUCGUGGCGCUGGCGGCAGCGGCGGUUAGGGGAUGUAACGGUCGCCCGGCUCCGGCGUGACGAUGGCGGCCGUAGGGUCCGGAGGCUAUGCGCGGAACGAUGCAGGGGAGAAGCUGCCCUCUGUCAUGGCGGGAGUUCCGGCGCGGAGGGGCCAGUCCUCCCCGCCCCCCGCCCCACCAAUCUGCCUACGGCGGCGGACGCGACUCUCGACGGCCUCCGAGGAGACGGUGCAGAACCGGGUGUCACUCGAGAAGGUGCUUGGCAUCACAGCCCAGAACAGCAGUGGCCUAACCUGUGACCCCAGCACAGGCCAUGUGGCCUACCUGGCAGGCUGUGUGGUGGUGAUUUUGGACCCCAAGGAGAACAAGCAGCAGCACAUCUUUAACACCGCCAGGAAGUCUCUCAGUGCUCUGGCCUUCUCCCCUGAUGGGAAGUACAUAGUGACAGGGGAGAAUGGGCAUAGGCCUGCUGUGCGCAUCUGGGAUGUGGAGGAGAAGAAUCAGGUGGCGGAGAUGCUAGGCCACAAGUAUGGUGUGGCGUGUGUGGCCUUCUCACCCAAUAUGAAGCACAUCGUGUCCAUGGGCUACCAACAUGACAUGGUGCUCAACGUCUGGGACUGGAAGAAAGACAUCGUAGUGGCCUCCAACAAGGUAUCUUGUAGAGUCAUUGCCCUCUCCUUCUCAGAGGACAGCAGCUAUUUUGUCACUGUUGGGAACCGGCAUGUGAGGUUCUGGUUCUUGGAAGUCUCCACUGAGACAAAGGUGACGAGCACAGUGCCCCUUGUAGGGCGCUCGGGCAUCCUGGGCGAGCUGCACAACAACAUCUUCUGUGGUGUGGCCUGCGGUCGGGGCCGGAUGGCGGGCAGUACCUUCUGCGUGUCCUACUCGGGCCUCCUCUGCCAGUUCAAUGAGAAGAGGGUGCUGGAGAAGUGGAUCAACCUGAAGGUCUCCCUGUCUUCCUGCCUCUGUGUCAGCCAGGAGCUCAUCUUCUGUGGCUGCACAGAUGGGAUAGUCCGCAUCUUCCAGGCCCAUAGCCUGCACUACCUCGCCAACCUGCCCAAGCCACACUACCUUGGGGUAGACGUGGCACAGGGCCUGGAGCCCAGCUUCCUCUUCCACAGGAAGGCGGAAGCAGUCUACCCAGAUACAGUGGCACUGACCUUCGACCCCAUCCACCAGUGGCUGUCCUGCGUGUAUAAGGACCACAGCAUCUACAUCUGGGAUGUCAAGGACAUCAACGGAGUGGGCAAGGUGUGGUCAGAGCUCUUCCACAGCUCCUACGUUUGGAACGUGGAGGCCCUGUCCUAGGUGCUGAGGACACAGACACAAAAACCCUGCCCUUAACGAGCUCACAUUUGUAUGGGAAAGGAAACCUGGAAACAUCAUCAGUGAAUAACACGCCAAGCAGCAGUAACCCUCUGAAGAAAAAUGAGGCAGGGAAGGGGAAGGGGAAUGCAGGUGGUAUUCUAGAGAGGAGAGGGGUCAGGGAAGGCCUCCCUGAGGACAUAUGAGCAGAGACCUGCAGGAAAUCGGGGAGUUAGACCUGCAACUGCUGGGGAGAACCACAAGCACAGAGGCCCUGCGGCAGGAACAUGCACUCCACAGAGAGCUUUGCUGUGGAGGUCGUUUAUGUAUUUCACUGCUUUUUUCAAAAAGGAGUUGAAGACGGGGCAUGGUGGCUCACACCUGUAAUCCCAACACUUUGGGAAUCUGAGGCGGGAGGAUCACUUGAGCCCAGGAGUUUGAGACCAGCCUGGGCGACACAAGACCCUGUCUCUACAAAUAAUUUUUAAAAAUUAGCCAGGCAUGGUAGCACACACGUGUGGUCCCAGCUACUCAAGACGUGGAGGCAGGAAGAUCACUUGAGCCUGGGAUGUCAAGGCUGCAGUGAGCUGUGAUUGUGCCACCACACUCCCACACUCCAGCCUGGGUAACAGUGAGACCAUGUCUAG